UACAUUCACUACUGUAAGUCGCUCUGGAUAAGAGCGUCUGCUAAAUGACUCAAA
rfam:Salmo salar isolate Sally breed double haploid chromosome ssa11, whole genome shotgun sequence.